rnacentral:ribozyme from 2 species
UUCUUAAUGCAACCACCAGUCUGUGACAAGUCAGAGAACUCGUUUGAAGUACGUGAAUGCAGAGUCAAGA